CCUACGGGAGGCAGCAGUGGGGAAUAUUGCACAAUGGGGGAAACCCUGAUGCAGCGACGCCGCGUGAAGGAAGAAGGAUUUCGGUAUGUAAACUUCUAUCUGCAGGGAAGAAAAUGACGGUACCUGACCAAGAAGCCCCGGCUAACUACGUGCCAGCAGCCGCGGUAACACGUAGGGUGCAAGCGUUAUCCGGAUUUACUGGGUGUAAAGGGAGCGUAGGCGGUUUAGCAAGUCAGAAGUGAAAGCCCGGGGCUCAACUCCGGGACUGCUUUUGAAACUGGUGAACUAGAUUGCAGGAGAGGUAAGUGGAAUUCCUAGUGUAGCGGUGAAAUGCGUAGAUAUUAGGAGGAACUCCAGUGGCGAAGGCGGCUUACUGGACUGUAAAUGACGCUGAGGCUCGAAAGCGUGGGGAGCAAACAGGAUUAGAUACACUAGUAGUC
rnacentral:rRNA from 1 species